CUAGGGCCACACCUGCGGCACAUGGAGGUUCCCAGGCUAGGGGGCCAAUCGGAGCUGUAGCUGCUGGCCUACACCAGAGCCACAGCAACAGGGGAUCCGAGCCGCGUCUUCGACCUUCGACCACAGCUCACAGCAACACUGGAUCCUUAACCCACUGAGUGAGGCCAGGGAUCAAACCUGCAACCUCAUGGAUCCUAGUCAGAUUUGUUAACCCCUGAGCCACGACGGGAACUCCCAACUUUUUUUUUUAAAGGCCAAAUCUUCCACAUAUGGAAGCUCCUGGGCCGGGGAUUGAAUCUAAGUUGCAGCUCUGAUCCAUGCAGCAGCAGUGGCAAUGCUGGAUCCUUGAACCCAAUGUGCCAGUCAGGGGCUCGAACCUGUGCCUCUGCAGCAACCUGAGCCUCUUAACCCACUGUGCCGCAGAUUUCAUCGUAUCUUUUUUUUUGGGGGGGGGGGGUUGGGCUGUCCCCAGAUGUGGUGGGUGGAGAUACUAUGUCAGGGGGAGGGCAAAGUACAGAGCAGCCAGCCUGGAGUCAGGACGGAGUGGGACUGACUGAUGAAACACCCCAGAAACUGCUGGUCUCUGGACUUCUCAUUUUAUGAGGUCAUUAAAUAUCCUUUACUGUUAGAGCCAUUUUUUAGUCAUUGCUUGCAACAGAAACUAUCCUGAUUUUUUUAAUUAUCAAAACAAACUAUUUGGCCAUAAGUACUUGAACUCAGUGCCUUGGUUUUGAGACUAAGCAUUAAAUGCUUUCUUUCCUACCGAUAAGAAGAAGAAAAAGUCAUGCAUUAGUUAUUUCCUUUAGGAUGGAUGACUCAAGAGAUAAGAAACUUGCUCUUUUUCCAAAACAGCAAACACGGUUUCUUUUUAAGUACAUGAAACUCUUCUUAAAACCCUCCUAGAGUUGUUUUCAAAAUGAAAUUUUAUACACCUCUUUCUUUUUUAUUGGUAAAAUCUUGUUACUUUCACAAAAACUCUACUUCAAUAGAUGUAUUAGGGAAUUAUCAACGCACAGCUUACUUGCUGUGAGGACAGAAAAGAAGUAGGCCCACAUGAAAAGAAUGCAUUUUCUUGAAAAUAAAGAUAAAUUAACUAAGAAAUUACUAGUUUUUAAUAAAUCAUCUCCUUAGUGAAUAACUCACCCUUCUGGUAAAAUAUUUACCAUGCUCUUUAAAACCUUUUUAAUCAACUGAAACACUCAGGAAGCUUUCAAUGAUUGGCUAUCCUUUCGUGGCUGAAGAGUUGAAAAGGUUUUUUGUUCAAGUGCAUUUUAAUAAGCAGCAAAUUGAUUUAAAAUGAUUCAAGCCUUGGUGGAGUGAGGGCUCUUCACGCUCAGCUCCUUGGACCCGAAAGGUCAUCUCUGGUCCUAUGCGCCCACGUUCUGGGUAAUUAAGAAUCAAUUCCUUUUAAAUUACCUUAGGACCGGCCCUGGCCAGAGUGACUCAGAGUAAGAAUAUUUUCCCUGCUGCCUCGUUUCUCCGUGCAGUGUUUUCCUGUGUAGGAAAUAAGAUAACAAAACAAACUGGAGAACUGACCGCAGAGACGGAUCCCCAGCCCCUGUCCCAUGGGUACUGGAUCAGGGUCUCCCCAAGUCGCUGAAUUGGCAUGGCAAUCGUGCCCCAGGGUCUUGUGUUUCGACUCUGGGCAGGGCCUGGGAAUAAUGCUUCUAACAAGUUCCCAGGGGAUUCGGCUGCCAUUGAUUGGCUGGGGAACCACAUUAGAAGAACCACUGUCCUGGGGUAACUCUCUCUGAGGGACAAAAAUGCUCUCGAGGUUAUGUUUGUUUAAACCCAAGGCAAUUCCCUGUGCUCAGACCAAAAUGUGAAAAAUAGUGUCAGUAGCCUGCAGAAGAAUGAAUAUUGUUGGCGCCUUGGUGAUCUGGUAGACGGUCGGUGUGAAGGAGUUACACAGUCCAGAGCAGAACAGUCGUUUGGUCCCAACGAAGGAAACGCAGAGUAUCUUCCUGGUGCGAAAUCUGGCAUCAGGCAGACGGAGGACCACGUGAAGUUAAUUUCGAAGACUCCCUCCCCAGCUCAUGAUAUUACUCAGCACAACAAAAGCUUCUUUAAGGUCUGCACCUGCUGCACAGUAAAUUGUUAAAGUCUUACUAACGGACCUUGCCCAGAAUUGUUCUGGAAUACAGAUCAGCUUGAAUAGACCGAAGAAAUUUCUCGCAGUUCGUGGGGAGGAAAAAUGUUCUCCAUCUGUGAGGCCAGAAAUACUGGCUCAGCUGCCCUGGGGCGGGGGCAGGGGUGUCCUACAGGCUCAACCCCCAGGCUCCGCUGUUCCUUCUGGGGAGGCCGGAGUUGAGUCACAGAUCACUGUGAGGCCUCGUCUGCGCUGCAGAAAAUGAGUUUGACCCAUGGAAAGAAUCUUACCCUAUUUCCUUUGGAUGAUGCUGGUAUAAAAAUGCAUGCUUCACACAAUCAACCUUUCGGACAAAGGAUUCUGACAGAAGGUCUGGCCACAGUGAUGAGGGCAACAUGGACCCCAAAGCCCGUCCGCCUUUUUGAAAUUCUGCUGGUAAGACAGCCUAAUUUUGACAGCUGGUUUCAAGUCUUUCUCGUUAAGAUUCUUAAUUAUGGGGCCAAUGAAUACAAGUUCUGAUUGAGGAGCAUCUGAGGUUGGCUGGCAUCAGAGCUGUCUGCCUAUCCAGGGGGUCAUCUGAUUUCUUUGGGGGAUGUUGUUUUGCAGUUUUUCCAGCUUUAAAAUCUGUGUCCCAGACCUCUCCCAGCCUUCUGUUCCAGCAAGAAUUUGGGCCCGUCUUUUGGCCUCGACAGGAUUUUGGAACAGAACCAGUUAAGUGGUCUUCUAGUCUCAGGAGAAUGUAUCAUUAAAAGAAACAAUCACAUUCUUUAAAUUUCCACAAAUGACUUUUCUGAUGAUUAUCUAAAGCCCAUUCACUGACUUUUCUUCUGCCUAAGAAGGCUGUGGUUUUAAGAUAUUUAAUAUUUAAAGUUUCUUGCUGGAAACACUGGGUUUUGAUGGCUACGUCUCAAGACCCAUACACGCUGAGAGACAGCAAGGCCCCAGCAACGGUUUAAGCAAUGGGCUUGGAAGGGCUGAUUCAAGGGAGACAGGUUCCAGCUGGAAACCUCUUCGAUGUCAGGGACCUUUGGAAGCUCCGAGGAAUGGAGACAGUGAGGGUGGAGCCCCCGUCUGCGUCCAGCAGGGCGGGCAGGCUCUGGAGUAAACGGGAAGAUGAACCUGGCUGACAAGACAUCACCUGUCAGGGGUCAGAGAUCCUUCUGUUCUCACCGCAGUGGCACUAAGCAGCCACUAAGGCAAAAAUGACACGUGAUUUGAAUGGAAGACCCCAUCACUGAGCCAGUCUUGACGGCGCAGGUUGCAGGUCAGGUGAGCUGGCUGCCAGGUGGUGGCUGCACGGGUCCCUUUUUAAGGCUCUGUACUCACUGUCGUCUCUUUAAUGAGGAGACCUGACAAGCAAAGAAGCCAGUGGGGGAGGGGCUCUUUUUUCCUCCAAAGUAGGUCUCAAGGGAUAAUUUUUGACUGAGGAAAUGAACGUGCCAACCAGUAGUCAGCAUUCCCCAUGGUUUGUCAAGGUGAACAUUUGAGAAACUGAACUGGACCUGUUUCUCUGUUUGUUUCCAAAUAACUUAGGGGGGAAAAAAGAUGCUAGCCCAGGAGCACAUUUCUCCUAGCCCUGGAUAGUGUAACUCUGAAAAUUACUCACAUCAAGCAUGUGUAUUAUUCACCUUAGGUGAUGUGGAAACUGAAUUUCAAGCUCCACUGAGGUAGCAGGUUGUUGAUUUCAGACAGCCCGGCCGUGGGCAAUCGCAGCUCUCACCACUAUGUGGGCCAAACAGCUGGGACAUGGAGCACUGUGGUCCCACAGCUGUGGGUGGCGAUUCCAGGGUCACUGCCUUCCAGCUGUGGGACCCCCGUCAAUUGUCCCCUGGAACUGGGUUCUUUCUGACUCUCAUGAGGAUUAAGCCAAAUAACACAAACAGAAGGCUUGCACAGCACAGUGGUUCACAACACGCACUUUCAUAGGGGCUAGUAGCUGUGACUCAUCGUUAACUGUUGCCAGCUAAUUUUCAGGGCUGGAUCUGACAACGUCUUGUGCAAAUUCCUUCAUUUUAAUCUAAUUAAAAAUAUAUAAACUAGACAAUGCCAAAUGAGAAAAAGGGACAUAAUUAUCCAUACCGGGAAGCUGCCAUUUACACACUGGAUGCUAAGUUCACUGUAAGGCGUGUGUUGGCCUUUCUGUCCCCAUAGCAAUGACGCUCUAACUGCUGUUAGGAUUCUAACAAUUCACAAAGGCAACUGAAACUUCAAUUACCUGACGUACUGCAUGUUUGCUCUGCUAGGUCAAACAUAAUGGCCCUUCAGACAUGAAGCAGCAGAAAAAUGAAACUGAUAAUACUCGAACAUUUAAAAACCCUGUGGCUUGAAUGAAAGCAGGACCAGCUACAGGCCAAAUGAGGAAGCCGGUGGGGCCUCUGAGCUUGGGAGAUGCGGGCAUUUAAUCAAACUUAAGGCUGCUUUGCUUGGUGCAAGCACCUCCACACUAGCUAUAUUUCUUGGCUCUAAGUAGGAUCUUCAUUGGCUUGUAAAUUUGAACAAAAGAUAGUUGGAGAAUAAAGUAGAUGGAUUGCGUGGCACCAAAAGCUAGAAAGGGGCAAUGCUGACCUGCUGGAAGCCUGCAGAGCAGAGGCUUCAGGGCAAGAGUAGAGCGAACCCUGCCGGGGAGGCUGGAGGGGGAAACAGCCAUUUCUCUAGCGAAUCCAGGUUGUGCCAUAAAGGCAGAGAAAGGCUGGGAGGCUGUAGCUGGAGGCCCUGGCUGUGGCUGUGAGGGGCAUUUAGUAUUUUCCAGGGGUUGUCUGAGGUGACUCGAGGAAAAGCAUUCUUUUGCACAAUGUGAGGGCCUCACCAGGGUCGGAGGGCCCCUCUCGCUCAAAGCAGAGCUUCGCCUGGAGGCUGAGGAAUGAGUGUCAAGUGGCUCUUGAUGUGCAGGCGUUUAAGAAGUGAACCCCAAGCCAUUUAGUGGACUUCUUUCACUGCUAUCUCCCUAGGUGUGUUUGACGCCAGAGGCUGGUUCAAUAAAAUCCUUAUUUGGUACUAAGUGCGGGGGGUGGGGGGAUCCUUGGUCAAGUAACUUGGAAACUGGCAGGAGUUAAAUCCCAUUUCGGCUCCAGAGGCCGAGGCUCUCCUGUGCUAAUUCGCACAGUGAACUUCCAGCAGGUCAAUUACAUGAACAGCAGAGUCUACACCCCCAGAGAAGCACGAGCCCUCUCUGCUGGAGAGGGACCGCGUGUCCUGGGAAUAUACCGGCAGGGCAGGGGCCCUGCUGGAGGGCAGAAGGCCUGGCUCUCUGUGGCCGGAUGUGGGAGGCCUCUGCGCUCCCAAGUGUCCCUUCCAGCAGCACAGUCCCCUCGUGGUACCCGUUCCCACUUGGGCUACUGGUACUGAAUCCUUGCAGAGGUUCGAGCUGAUCAUCUAAAAUGGUAUGAAAACAUGGAAAACCAAACCAAUCACUUACGACACAAAGGAAGGAAGCGUCAGCAGCAGGAUUCAGGCACCUUUAUUCACAGCAGGUGUUUCUGGUCUCCCGAGCUUGCUCUGACACCUGCCCAGGACCUAAGGAAGCUGACGCCCUCUGCCCGACUGUUCCCUUGCCACAUCCCAGUCCCGGGCGCAUCCCACACACGGCUCCGUUUAGUCCUCAGAAUCCAGCCGGCUCCGGGCUCUCAGGGCUACACCUCGGAGCAUGACCUACUGGCCCGGCAAAGGAGUUUCUGUGGCGCCAUAACGACAGUGGGGAAUCCAUUUCAUCCCAGGAGAAAUCCACUCCUUUGUGUUCCCCGUAAAAUUUAUAAACAGGACAAAUUAUUCCUUAAUAUUAUUAUAUAUGUGCAAUACAAACAAUUGAGACUGGUGACACAGGAAAACUCUGAAAACACACACCCUGUUGACGAAGGGUUUCCCUCUCCAAAGCACAGUGGCCAUUGCUCACAUCACCCCGCCGGGACGGCCCCGGGACGGCCUCGCGGGCCUCCUCCUGUCAGCGCUGGCCUCCAGGCUCACCCUCCUGCUAAGCUGCAAGGGUGAGUGUCUCCCGGCACCCAUAACAAAACCAUUGCUCUGCUGGGAUUUAGGUAAGAAAGAGUUUUCAGAAACAGAGUUCCUUAAAAACUCGAGCCUCUAACAAAUCACUUCUCAUCUCCUAGCCAAGUCACUGGCCGGACUGGACACGGUCUGCUCUUCUUGCCUGUCUCUUUGCCCAGCCAGGAGCUCAAGACACGAAGCAGCAGAGUCGUCCAAUCCCGCCAGAUUUCCUAUGGGAACUACUGCCGAUGGACAAAGCACGGCCUACUGAAGUGCUCAAACGUCAUGCAAAACUCUAACUACGAAAGGCCUCCGGACACCAGGCAAUUUUGCUACUUUCCAUGUUUAAGAAUUCUAACCUAAGUGGCAGUGGUCACUCUUUGUCACUGUAGCAUCUGACCUCAGGGACUCGGACAUAAAAUCACGGUUCAAUUCCGAGGUUGGGUGGCACAGUAGUGUCAGAUAGUUCUGAACACACAAUUUGACAUGUUUUCAACCACCUGAAACUCUAUCAGCACACUAUUUGGUGUUCAUUGAACAGUCACGGUCUGAGAAUUAAAGAACCCUAACUAUAAAUGUUUCACGUCACAAAACCUAAUUAUAACUGAGGAUCUACUCCACGUCUAAUUAAAAGAACUACACAACGACUUUCAUCCAACAGCAACUGCUACGAAGGGAAAGAUAGGAAAAAACCGACUGCACAAAAAUACACUAAAAAAUUGGACAAUUGUUCGCAGGAACUGCCAAAGUUUUAGUGUUUAAUAGCACAACUGACCAAGGUCCAAGAUAGGAAGUUACCAUGUUCAGGAAACACGGGGGGUGGGGGGGAGAGGUCACUCUAUAACCUAACUCUAUAGUAUGUGGCAAGAAGAAUGCACACUUUAUAAUAUAAAACCUGUCUACACAUAGUAGUUAGUUGCAAAAAGCCAUCCGUCGUCUCUUGGCUUGUAAAAAGGGUGUUCUGGAUUUCAGUGCAAUUGAGCCACCUGUCGGAAAAGGGAAAGUCAUCAACGUGCCAGUCAUUCUCUAAGGAUAAAUGAAAAAUAACACACAGAAUGAGCAGCCACGUUCUCAAUCCUCCUACUUUACGCAGUAUCCUAGCAAAAACACACGGGAAGUCUUUGUUAAAGAGAUGAGCGUGGAUCUUCUUCCUCCUCCCACUCUCUGCCACUGUUCCCCGCCCGUGACAUUCCUCGGCCCUCCCGACAGUGUUCUCAUUCACUCCGUGGGGUUUCUGAUGCCAAAUGAUAGUGAGAGCCAGAGAAACGCCUAAGACGGGCAGGACACUGCCCAAGGUUCCUGGGUAGAGGAUCCAAGAUGAUAAGCCCCGUAAAACUACUAUGUGAUUUACUUACAUAGCGAAUCCACCUAAGCUACUGUUAACAACAAACUGGAAAGUCUUUACCUCUCAAACCUCUAUUUAUUUUCUUGGACUUCUGAGUUGCAGUGAGGUAACCACCACUCUCAGGAAAGGGCUUCUCAUGAAAGAAACCCCGGUGAAAAGAGGGCAGGCACAUGUGUGUCUAGCUAUUUUGCUACAGAGGGCAUUUUUGAUGACCAGUCUCCACGCUGAUAUGUGUGACUAUACAAUGGAAAUUUACAUCAUCUCCAGGAUGAAGGCUUAGUGUGGCCAGGAUCCAGGUCAUGUAAGUCACAAUCAGCCACUGUCCUGGCAUUUGUCUAGUGUGGGGGGUAUUUCCAAGAGAAUCCUUACAACUUACGGCAGCAAUGAAGAUGGCAAUGUGGGUGUUAUCUUUAAAAAAAACCAACAAACCAAAAACCCACUGGAAAAAUCUGCCAGGGACCAAAAAUCUGCCAAGGCCAACAAAACAGACCUCUUUUCUUCUGGCUGUAAUGAUAUAAACUCAGUGGUUAUCUAAUAUUAACCAAUGGUCUUAACUAAUAGGGAUCUAGGUCUAAUUGACAAAAGUAGGGAAAAUAAGUUUUACAUAAAGAAUUAGUUGAAUCCUCGAGGGUGGGGACAUGAAAGGCCUCUUAUCCAGUGAUGCUUGCUGGAUCACCGCUAGGCUGUGGACAGACCUAGAGGAAGUGUGACUACAUCCACAUCACACAGACACACACCGCACUUCUCCUGCCCCGCCCCUCACCUUCAACUUUUCUGUGUGGCGGGGAUCUUGUUGUCGCCUUCCAGCUCUUCCACCCCAGCCUGUGUCAUGAGGUCUGCAAUGUUUUUUUCCAGGUCAUCAAUGCGACUGCUCAUGUCAUCAAGUGGGGGAGUUAAAGACAACGCACCACAGCUGCCAUUUCUUCGCCCUCGCCUCCAGGGCCCUGCAGACCACAGCCUUCAACGCCAGUGCCUUUUUUUUUUCUUUUUCGGCCACACCCACAGCAUACGGAAGUUGGAAGUUCGGGGGGCCAGGGAUUGAAUCCAAGCCAAAGCUGCGACUUACGACACAGCUGUGGCAACACCAGAUCUGUUAACACACUGUGUGGGGCUGCGUAUUGAACCUGCACCACCACAGAGACAACCCUGGACGCUGAAGCCACUGUGCCACAGAGGGAACUCCAACAUCGUGUUGUAAUGAAAGUGGUUUCCCAACCACCUUUGGAUACUGUUGGAAUUUGGUUAAGAGCACAGGAGCCCGGGCUAAGGAUCCAAUCCCAGCCCUGCCCUUUACUAGUGAUGGGACGUGGGCAAGCUCUUCACUUCUCUAAGCUGCCUGUUUCUUCACCAGCUACAUAAAGGUAACACUAUAACCUCCUCAUCAGGUUAUGGCCGGAGCAAAGCAGACAGUAAUUAUUAUAAAACGCUUGGCUCGCAGUCAACAAUCAUACUCGACAGUGUUACCGGUGGACUCGAAGUUCCUUGGGGCCAGGGAGCUAGGUCGGCUGCAAUCCCAGCUCUUUCCACUGGACACUUUGGGAAGAAUACCUCCAAACUCAGUAAAAAAAUGUAAAUGACCGGCGGAAGUUGACCUGCAAACCACCCACUUAUGGCCACCACCACCGGGAAAUUGGGAUCCAAAGGCCCAUAAGAAGCUGCCUACAAAUAAAGGAUAUUUCUUCCAAUGAUCUGGUCGGACAUGGUCUGAAAUUUAUCUUGCAUCUGUUGCAGGAGUGUCUGCACCUACGAAACAACAAGACACGACACCCCACGCUUAUCCUGAGACAACUUCACGGGACAGGGUGGAGGCCCUGGUCCCAGGGGGAGAU
rnacentral:lncRNA from 1 species